AGGCCCCUCGCAAAGUCUCGCCCAAUUCCGAGUCCGGCGGACGAACUUCGCCCGCGCCCCCCACCAAGGCUAUAGCCCACCCGUUUUUUGGCCAUUUUUCCGCUGGGGGGUUUUGGCACCACGACCUUCGGGCACUUAUUUUUGGGCGUGGCUUUGCCCGCGGCUUAUUUUUGGUGCCCCGAGGCCCCUCGCAAAGUCUCGCUCCAUUCCGAGUCCGGCGGACGAACUUCGCCCGCGCCCCCCACCAAGGCUAUAGCCCACCCAUUUUUUGGCCAUUUUUCCGCUGGGGGGUUUUGGCACCACGACCUUCGGGCUCUUAUUUUUGGGCGCGGCUUUGCCCGCGGCUUAUUUUUGGCGCCACGAGGCCCCUCGCAAAGUCUCGCCCCAUUCCGAGUCUGGCGGACGAACUUCGCCCGCGCCCCCCACCAAGGCUGUAGCCCACCCAUUUUUUGGCCAUUUUUCCGCUGGGAGGUUUUGGCACCACGACCUUUGGGCGCUUAUUUUUGGGCGCGGCUGUGCCCGCGACUUCCCACGGGCACCCCGAGGCCCCGCGCAAAGUCUCGCCCCAUUCCGAGUCCGGCGGACGAACUUCGCCCGCGCCCCCCACCAAGGCUAUAGCCUACCCGUUUUUUGGCCAUUUUUCCGCUGGGGGGUUUUGGCACCACGACCUUCGGGCGCUUAUUUUUUGGCGCGGCUUUGCCCGUGGCUUAUUUUUGGUGCCCCGAGGCCCCUCGCAAAGUCUCGCCCCAUUCCGAGUCCGGCGGACGAACUUCGCCCGCGCCCCCCACCAAGGCUAUAGCCCACCCAUUUUUUGGCCAUUUUUCCGCUGGGGGGUUUUGGCACCACGACCUUCGGGCUCUUAUUUUUGGGCGCGGCUUUGCCCGCGGCUUAUUUUUGGCGCCACGAGGCCCCUCGCAAAGUCUCGCCCCAUUCCGAGUCUGGCGGACGAACUUCGCCCGCGCCCCCCACCAAGGCUAUAGCCCACCCAUUUUUUGGCCA
rnacentral:lncRNA from 1 species